GCUUGGUUAGCUCAGUUGGAAGAGCGCCUAUUACUGAUAGGUAGUCGUGGGUUCGAGUCCCACACCAAGCA